rnacentral:rRNA from 1 species
UGGGGAAUUUUGGUCAAUGGGCGCAAGCCUGAACCAGCAACGCCGCGUGGGUGAUGAAGGCCUUCGGGUUGUAAAGCCCUGUCGGGAGGGACGAAAGAACAGAGUAACGAACUGGAAUGACGGUACCUCCAAAGGAAGCACCGGCUAACUCUGUGCCAGCAGCCGCGGUAAUACAGAGGGUGCAAGCGUUGUUCGGAAUUACUGGGCGUAAAGCGCGUGUAGGCGGCCUGCUAAGUCUCGUGUGAAAGCCCCGGGCUCAACCCGGGAAGUGCGCGAGAUACUGGCUGGGCUGGAGUGGUGGAGAGGGUGGCGGAAUUCCCGGUGUAGAGGUGAAAUUCGUAGAUAUCGGGAGGAACACCUGUGGCGAAGGCGGCCACCUGGACAUUCACUGACGCUGAGACGCGAAAGCGUGGGUAGCAAACAGG